rnacentral:lncRNA from 10 species
AUCUGUCCAUAAAGUCUCUUUUAUUUGCAUUUUCUAACAAUUUCAUUUUCUUCACUCAGACGUUCUUAACCAAAGUUAAUGAUGGCUGCAUAAACAAGUCUCAUUCGAGUACAGAUAUUCAUGUAGUUCAUGUCCAAAUGUCAAGUAAAAGAGCAGCAUAUUAUAGCAACCCCAUCUUUAUUAAAAAGAAGUAUCUUCUGCAACAUUUUAUAACUUAAUGUAUCUGAUUUGGACUGCGUCCCCCCAGCCCCCAAAUUCAUAUAUUGAAACCCUAACCCUCCAUCUGAUGAUAUCAGGAGGUAAGGCCUUUGGGAGGUGAUUAGGUCAUGAGGGUGGAGCCCAUGUGACUGGGAAUUAGUAUGAUUAUAAGAGAGGCAUAUGAGCUUGCUUUCUGCCUCUGUUCUCCACUGUAUGAGGAUACAGCAAGAAGAAAGCUGACUGCAGACUAGGAAGUGGGCCCUCACCACACACUGGAUUUGCUGGCGCCUUGAUCCAGAACCAGUAACUGUGAGCAGAGCUGCUGUAAAACACCAGAUGGAAAGGAAGCAGUUCAACACCAUCUUUUCUUCAUCUGCCUUGCUGUGGCACUCAGCUUCUCACUGCAUACAGGAACUUGGAAAUUCCAGGCUUCAGAUGUGGUCACAUGAAUCCUCCACUGAUUAUUACAGAUUUGCCUUCAAAUGAGCCACAGGAAUGUUUAUUUCUUAAUAAUCAACAGCAGCUUCUCUUGUAAUGUGUUUUAAUGUUUUUACAUAUCGUCUAGCAGCGUUGGUCCCAAAUUCCAGCCUUAACUGGCAGGCUGCUUCCCUUAUGGGAGUUUUCCAAUAACCAACAUUGUUUCUUACCCUUUUCAAGGACUAUGGGGAAAAGAAUCUUCUAGAGUCUUGAGAAAAGCAUGAUAAUCCAGGAUUUAUGCACAUUGAAAAUACUUUUAUUGAUUUGGCCCAACUUCCUCAUCGUGCAACUUGUCACAUCAUGACACCAUCUGAAAUGAUAAACUUUCUAGAGAAUUGUCAUGGAAAGGUCUUCUCCAACCAACCUAAGCUUAGAGUCAAACUUAAGGCAAACUUUGGGAAAGAGGCCACUUCCACUCUGUGACAGAGGGUAAUAUGGUUGGGCUUUACGUCCCCACCCAAAUCUCAUCUUGUAGUUUCCAUAAUUCCCACAUGUUGUGGGAGGGACCUGGUGGGAGAUGAAUGAAUUAUGGGGGCGGAUCUUUCCCGUGCCGUUCUUGUGAUAGUGAAUGAGGCUCAUGAAAUCUGCUGGUUUUAAAAGCAGCUUGUGCAGGGCACAAGCUUUGGCUGCUGCCAUCCACUUAAGCUGUGACUUGCUCCUUCUUGCCUUCUGCCAUGAUUGUGAGGCCUCCCCAGCCACGUGGAAUUGUAAGUUUAAUAAAUGUCAUUCUAUUGUAAAUUGUCCAGUCUCAGGUGUGUCUUUAUCAGCAGUGUGAAAACAGACUAAUACAGAGGGUUAUAAAAAUAUUACUCCCCUUUAAUAUUGCUCCCAAGGAAUUCCCUAUGGUUAAAAAAUAUAUACGAAUGAGGACAAAACAUAUACUUAUGAGCAUCAUAAUAUAUGACUAAGACUCAUCUGAUUCUCAAUGAUUUUGUUUCUGUGACUUAAAAAAAUGGUACAAGGCCCAUGAAAUGAAUCACACCUCA